UACGUAGGGUGCGAGCGUUAAUCGGAAUACUGGGCGUAAAGCGUGCGCAGGCGGUUCGUUGUGUCGGCGGUGAAAGCCCCGGGCUUAACCUGGGAAUGGCCGUUGAAACUGGCGAACUGGAGUGUGGCAGAGGGGGGGUGGAAUUCCGCGUGUAGCAGUGAAAUGCGUAGAGAUGCGGAGGAACACCGAUGGCGAAGGCAGCCCCCCCUGGGCUAACACUGACGCUCAGGCACGAAAGCGUGGGGAGCAAACAGG
rnacentral:rRNA from 1 species